rnacentral:rRNA from 1 species
GUCCACGCCGUAAACGAUGUCUACUAGCCGUUGGAGAUCUAGAAUCUUUAGUGGCGAAGCUAACGCGAUAAGUAGACCGCCUGGGGAGUACGGCCGCAAGGUUAAAACUCAAAUGAAUUGACGGGGGCCCCGCACAAGCGGUGGAGCAUGUGGUUUAAUUCGACGCAACGCGAAGAACCUUACCUGGCCUUGACAUCCUGCGAACUUUCUAGAGAUAGAUUGGUGCCUUCGGGAGCGCAGAGACAGGUGCUGCAUGGCUGUCGU